GGUUUCUUAUAUGUUUUUUCUAAUAUUCCAUUGGGAACAGAACGAGAGGAACGAUUCUCCCCAUGCCCUGGAUGACCAUCCUGCGGAGUAGAGAGAGGCCUCCCCCAUUAGCUAGACAACCAUCCUUAAAUGACCCAUCUGCUGCAAACUCCACACCGAGGAGGAAGCCAUGGAUAUUCAAACUGAACACAGGUUCACCAACAGGGGUAGCAAGGAAGCUUAGGCCUGGCCAAGUGAACAUAGAUGGAGGAACAUUUUUUAAGUAGAAUGGCAUAGUCUUGAUCUCCGGCUGAGCGUUCUCAGCUACCGGAGUCCACUUCGAAACGAUCAUCGGCAAAUCACAGAGAUAUUCCACAUGCCCCUACGCAGAACUUGAGACCUUACAGGGAAACAGCCCACAAGGAAAUCCUCCCACAAAGGAACUUAAUCUUGCAAUACUUCGUCAGGAACAACCACCAUGGCUUUACCAUCAACCACUUGGACAUUAACAACAAAUUUUGAAAGACUCGGCCUCCCGACUGUAGUAGCAUACAACUUUUGGGGUGGAACAAGUACAGAUCCCACCUCAGCUGGACUUCCCACCGCCAUGGAGCCGUCUCCAGCCACCACCGACAUGGCGUGCAGGCGGCUAGCCGCUAGACUCUUCCCACAGAAACGAAAACCCUAAUCGCACCCUUCUUAUCGCCUUUGCUCUGCUAUGCUGAUCGCCUUUCCUUCAGUAGUAUUUAUUUACAUCAUCACUUUGAGUCAAAAGUAAAAAUAUAUGCAACUUGUAAAAGACAUAACUUAAUGAAACACUACUAAAAAGAAAUUAAAUUACCAGAAUUUUCGAGAAUUUCAUUUGUAUAUCCCGGAGGGUACAUAUCGUACCAGAUGUGUGUAAAACAGAGUUCUUUUAUUCUUUACUUACAUGUCGUACCCUCAA